rnacentral:tRNA from 1 species
GCUUUCGUGGUGUAGUGGUCAGCACGCUCGACGCGUAACCGAGAGGUCCGUGGUUCGAUUCCCGGCGAAGGCA